AUCGAUGAAGAACGCAGCGAAAUGCGAUAAGUAAUGUGAAUUGCAGAAUUCAGUGAAUCAUCGAAUCUUUGAACGCAACUUGCGCUCUCUGGUAUUCCGGAGAGCAUGCCUGUUUGAGUGUCAUGAAAUCUCAACCAUUAGGGUUUCUUAAUGGCUUGGAUUUGGGUGUUGCCAGUCUCUGGCUCGCCUUAAAGGAGUUAGCGAGUUUAACAAUGUCGUCUGGCGUAAUAAGUUUCGCUGGUAAGACUUGUGAAGUUUGCUUCUAAUCGUCUUCGGACAAUUACUUUGACUCUGGCCUCAAAUCAGGUAGGACUACCCGCUGAACUUAAGCAUAUCAAUAAGCGGAGGAAAAGAAACUAACAAGGAUUCCCCUAGUAACGGCGAGUGAACCGGGAAGAGCUCAAAUUUGAAAUCUGGCAGUCUUCGAUUGUCCGAGUUGUAAUCUAUAGAAGCGUUUUCCGUGCUGAACUGUGUAUAAGUCCCUUGGAACAGGGUAUCAAAGAGGGUGACAAUCCCGUACUUUACACAAUCAUCAGUGCUCUGUGAUACGUUCUCUACGAGUCGAGUUGUUUGGGAAUGCAGCUCAAAAUGGGUGGUAAAUUCCAUCUAAAGCUAAAUAUUGGCGAGAGACCGAUAGCGAACAAGUACCGUGAGGGAAAGAUGAAAAGCACUUUGGAAAGAGAGUUAAACAGUACGUGAAAUUGUUGAAAGGGAAACGAAAUUCAUGAAUCAUGUUUAUUGGACUCAGCCGUUCUUCGGUGUACUUCCUUUAAACGGGUCAACAUCAGUUUUGUCCGAUGGAUAAAGGUAGUAGGAAGGUGGCUCUCUCGGGAGUGUUAUAGCCUAUUGCUGCAUACAUUGGAUGAGACUGAGGACUGCAGCUUGCCUUUAUGGCCGGGGUUCGCCCACGUUCAAGCUUAGGAUGUUGACAUAUUCUCGAAUCACGACCCGUCUUGAAACACGG
rnacentral:rRNA from 1 species